GACGAACGCUGGCGGCGUGCUUAACACAUGCCAGUCGAACGGAAAGGCCUCUUUCGGGGGGUACUCGAGUGGCGAACGGGUGAGUAACACAUGAGUAACCUGCCCUUGACUUUGGGAUAACUUCAGGAAACUGGGGCUAAUACCGGAUAGGAGCUCCUGCUGCAUGGUGGGGGUUGGAAAGUUUCGGCGGUUGGGGAUGGACUCGCGGCUUAUCAGCUUGUUGGUGGGGUAGUGGCUUACCAAGGCUUUGACGGGUAGCCGGCCUGAGAGGGUGACCGGCCACAUUGGGACUGAGAUACGGCCCAGACUCCUACGGGAGGCAGCAGUGGGGAAUAUUGCACAAGGGGUGGAAGCCUGAUGCAGCAACGCCGUGUGCGGGAGGACGGCCUUCGGGUUGUAAACCGCUUUCGCUCAUGACGAAGCUUUGUGUGACGGUAGUGGGUAAAGAAGCACCGGCUAACUACGUG
rnacentral:rRNA from 1 species